rnacentral:rRNA from 1 species
UGGUGGAGCGAUUUGUCUGGUCAAUUCAGAUAACGAACGAGACUCUAGCCUACUAAAUAGUUCGGGGACCCCCACAAAGGGGCCCCGCUUCAACUUCUUAGAGGGACAGGUGGCGUUUAGCCACACGAGAUUGAGCAAUAACA